CGCUGGCUGUGUGCCUAAUACAUGCAUGUCGAGCGAAGUACUUGUACUUAGCGGCGAAUGGGUGAGUAACACGUACUCAACGUACCCUUCAGAUUGGCAUAGCGGUUGGAAACAACCGAUAAUACCAAAUACUUGUUUAGAUCGCAUGAUCUUUACAUAAAAGACGCCUCAAAGCGUCGCUGGAGGAGCGGGGUGCGCAACAUUAGCUAGUUGGUGAGGUAACGGCCCACCAAGGCAAUGAUGUUUAGCGGGGUUGAGAGACUGAACCGCCACACUGGGACUGAGAUACGGCCCAGACUCCUACGGGAGGCAGCAGUAGGGAAUAUUCCACAAUGGACGAAAGUCUGAUGGAGCGACACAGCGUGCAGGAUGAAGGCCCUAUGGGUUGUAAACUGCUGUGGUAAGGGAAUAAAAAAUAGUAUAGGAAAUGAUACUAUAUUGAAUGUACCUUAUUAGAAAGCAACGGCUAACUAUGUGCCAGCAGCCGCGGUAAUACAUAGGUUGCAAGCGUUAUCCGGAAUUAUUGGGCGUAAAGCGUCUGUAGGUUGUUUAUUAAGUCUGGCGUCAAAUUUUGGGGCUCAACCCCAAACCGCGUUGGAUACUGGUAAACUAGAGUUAUGUAGAGGUUAGCGGAAUUCCUUGUGAAGCGGUGAAAUGCGUAGAUAUAAGGAAGAACACCAACAUGGCGAAGGCAGCUAACUGGACAUAUACUGACACUGAGAGACGAAAGCGUGGGGAGCAAACAGGAUUAGAUACCCUGGUAGUCCACGCCCUAAACGUUGAUCAUUAGCUGAUGGGGAACUCAUCGGCGCAGCUAACGCAUUAAAUGAUCCGCCUGAGUAGUACGUUCGCAAGAAUAAAACUUAAAGGAAUUGACGGGGACCCGCACAAGCGGUGGAGCAUGUGGUUUAAUUUGAAGAUACGCGUAGAACCUUACCCACUCUUGACAUCUUCCGCAAAGCUAUAGAGAUAUAGUGGAGGUUAACGGAAUGACAGAUGGUGCAUGGUUGUCGCCAGUUCGUGUCGUGAGAUGUCCGGUUAAGUCCUGAAACGAGCGCAACCCCUGUCCUUAGUUACUAACAUUUAGNGGAGCACUCUAAGGAGACUGCCCGACUAAUCGGGAGGAAGGUGGGGACGACGUCAAAUUCAUCAUGCCUCUUACGAGUGGGGCAACACACGUGCUACAGUGGCCGGUACACAGCGACGGACACUGGAGACAGAGCAGCAAACCACAAAAAGCCGGUCUCAGUUCGGAUUGGCGUCUGCANCUCGACUCCAUGAAGUCGGAAUCGCUAGUAAUCGUAGAUCAGCUACGCUACGGUGAAUACGUUCUCGGUUCUUGUACACACCGNCCGUCAAACCAUGGGAGCUGGUAAUGCCCGAAGUCGGUUUAUAAACAAACUGCCUAAGGCAGGACUGGUGACUGGGGU
rnacentral:rRNA from 1 species